CACCAUGUUACAUGUGUGUGGCGGGGCCGGGUACAAGACAGAGCUCGGUCUGGAGCGUCUUCUCCGAGACGCCAAGGCGGGAUGGGUGAUGGGUCCGAGUAACGAGGUGACACGUGGGUGGAUUGGACAAACCUCUCUUUUGGGGAUGGACGCACUGGAUUACUGGGUCCAACAUUCUCAUAAACGCGUCCUAAAUGCAGAGAUUAAAAAAC